rfam:Candidatus Entotheonella sp. TSY1 plasmid pTSY unlocalized plasmid scaffold pTSY_scaffold00004, whole genome shotgun sequence.
CUUGAGGUCUGAAGGAAGCGUGUAUCAAAGGUGCGAGCCGACGAACAGAAACUGGAUAUGAGGCGUCUCGAUCGGACGAGUGAGCGUGAGAUCACGAAGUCCAUAUCCAUCAAGGACCAAGGGCGUAAAUCCAGCGGUUGUACACCGAAAGAACAUGA